AUGGGACAUGCGGAAUGAAAGUUGAUGGAGGAAGAGAUCUUACAAUCCCAGUACAUCUUUGCCCGAGGCCCAAUGGAAAGAGAUCUUCCAUUUUACUUUAUACAACAACAACAAGCCUUACGGGAUAGCAAAGAAAUCUUCCAUUUUACUUUAUAAGUAAUUAUUUUAUUGUGUGAGAGAAAAUUAUACAUAUUUAUAAUAAAAGCCCCUUGACCUAAAAUUGCUUUCUUUUUGGACAAUGAUGUGCAUCAGAAAUUGUGAGGCAUCCACAUGUCUCAACUAAAAUCUUAGCAGAACUGCAAUUUUUUUCAUUAUCCUAUUGUCACAUAACUAAACAACAUUGUCUUGUCACAUAACUAAACGUAGGAUAAAAUAAAAGGUUCCAUGAAAAUGUUUACUGGUAUCUGUAAAAUAUUUUAUCUAGCUAGUCUCUUAUCCAUAUGUUUUGUUGGUAUGAUUUCUCCUGAUUAUUUCCUUUCUCUUACAAAAUAACAAUCCAUCUCAACAUGCUUUGUCCAUUAAUUCAUGAUUUCUCCUGAUGCACAACCCAAUCUCUAGUGCCAAAUUUUAGGUUGCCAGCCUAAUGACUACUACAAGCACCCUUCAUCUUCUAUUAGCUCUAGGAUGUAGAAACUCUCACAAUGCCUACUCUAACCAAGUCCCCGUUUACCUCUGUAAUUCUGGCAAAGAUAGAAAGAGAGGGAAAGAGAGAUAGAAACAGAGGAAAGAAGAACAAAAAGAAUGAGAGAAUCAGAGAGAGAUUAAGAGGAGUAGACAGACAAGAGAGGUACUAAAUAUAUGCAGGUCUCUACUGAUGACUUAACAUGAGGGCAUGCAAAUAAGUAAGAGAUAUUUUUAGGCUCUAAUAUAACAGUUAAUAUUUUAACUAACCUAACCGUAAGCUUAAUACCUAACUAUUGUCAUAUUUACAAUUAUAUAGCAAUAACCCCCUUUCAAAAGACCCUUGCCCUCAAGGUUUAGAUACAACAAAUGAUGGAAAUUACUGUUGAAAUUGAUGAAGUGACAUCUAGGAGGCUUCCUCAUCAGGUUUGUCCUUCCAUUGAACUAGAAUUUCUGUAAUAAUUCUUCCUCACUUUCUACCAACCCUUUUGUUCAAAAUUUUCUCGGGCUCUAGUAUAGGUGGUAGUGCAGCCCAAUCAUUAGAAGGGAUGGUGUUGCUUUACUUUAGGAGCAGGACACAAUUUUAACAAGACACAUGGAAAGUUGGAUGAAUCCUUGAUUCUAUAGGUAAUUCUAGCUUGUAUACAACAACUCAAACCCUUUCCAAAACCUUAUAAGGACUGUAAUAAUGAGGAGCUAACUUCUGGGAACUUCUGUUGAAAUUUGAUGAUAGGGCUGGAGUUUAAGAAAAACCUACUAUGCCAUUGCAAAUUCUCGGUCAUCCUAUGCGAGCCAGCCUUUUGCUUUGUCAAAUUGGCUGCCCUUUGAAGAUGAUGUUUAAAACAACCAAAACUUCCUCCCUAGCUGUGAAUGACCUAUCCAAGGCAUCUAAAACAUUGUUGUGAGGUAAAUAGGGAUUUCAUAAGGAGUAGCCUAGUUAGUUGUUGUGUGAAAAGUGGUGUCAUACCACCAUUCUACUUGUGGCAGCCACUUGCUCCAGUCCUUGGGUCACUCCCAACACAUGUAACAGAGAUAAGUUUCUAAACAACGGUUGAGACUUUAGAUUGGCCAUCAGUUGAGGGUGAUAGGCUAUACAAAGAUGCUAUUUCACCCCUAAAACCUGCAGAAACUCUUUCCAAAAUCCAGUAACAAAGAAAGGGGCUCAGUCACAAAUAAUUUCUUAAGGUGCUCCAUGUAAUUUGUAAAUAUUAUCUAUAAAAAUCUGGGUUAAAGAAGAAGCUAAAAAAGGAUGAGUAAGAGGUAGAAAAUGUGCAUAGUUACUCAUACAAUCAACCACAAACCAAAUCGUGUCCUUACCAAAAGAUUUAGGUAGACCUUCAAUGAAGUCCAUAGUGAUGCUUUCCCAUACCUUGCUAGGAAUAGGUAAAGGCUACAAUAAUCCAAGUGUAGCCAAAGUCUCAUUUUUUUCACCUAGCAUAAGUGUCACUGUUUAAUAAAAUGAGAGAUAUCAUUUAUCAGUUUUUUCCACCAAAAUAAAGAUUUAACCCUUUGAUAGGUAGCUUGGAUUUUUGAGUGGCCUCCUUGAGGACUAGAGUGAAGCCAUUCCAAUAUUUGUUGCCUCAAAUCAGAUUUAUUCCCCACCACUAGCUUCCAUUUCCUUCUAAGAAAAUCACCAUCAUAUGUGAAAUGUCCCCAAACUCCAUCCUGCUAUUGGACUUCCUCUCUUAUUGUUGUUAUGACAGCAUCAUUAUCCUAGCUUUCUUUUAUUUUUACAAGCAACUCAUGUGAAGUAGUAUCAUAAAUCAUUUGCAUCAGUUGUUUAGGCAUCUGAGAGAGAGCAUCUGCGAGAGAAUUAUUAUUCCCUUCUAUGCUAAAUUUCAUAAUCAAACCCAACUAGCUUUGCCAACCACAACAUCUGGAAAGAUGUCUUCAAAUUUUGUCCCAUUAAAUAUUUUAAACUCUGUUGGUCUAAUAGAAUGAUAAAUGUCCUUCUUUAAAGAUAUUGGUGCCAAUGAAGCAUUGCCAAAACCAUGGCCAUUAGCUCUUUUUCAUAAACGGAGAGCUUUUGGUGUCUUUCAGCUAAUCCCUUGCUGAAACAAGCUAUUGGCUAUCCAUUUGCAUUAAAAACAGCCCCCUAACCAACCCCACACGCGUCAACUUCUACUACAAAUUGCUUGUUGAACUUUACAAGAGUGAGGACAGGGGCUAAAGUUAGUACUUUCUUGAGAUUCUGAAGUGAUUCAGCUGCAGAAUUGGUCUAUCUGAAGCCAUUCUUCUUAAGGAGUAGAGUCAAUGGCUUAGUUAAAACACCAAUCCCUUGAUGAGUCGUCUAUAAUAUUUAGCCAGCUCUAAAAAUGCUUAGUUGCUUGAUAUUCCUCAGUUCAGGCCAUUCAGCCAUUGCCUGAAUCUUUUCUAGGAUUGUUCUCACCUUCCUUUCGCUAAUUAAGUGCCCUAAAUACUCCACUUUGGUGUAGCAAAAGAGCACUUGCUCUUUUUAAUCAAAUAACAUUUUUUUCUUAGGAUAGAGAAGACUUGUUUUGGGUGCUGCCCAUGAUCCUCAAGGUUAGCACUAUAAAGCAAAAUAUCAUCAAAAAAUACUAAAACAAACCAUUCUCAAACAAGGGCAAAAAAAUGCUGUUCAUAAUUCCUUGAAAGGUUGCUGGUGCAUUAUUUAAGCCAAAUGGCAUAGCUAACCACUCAUAGUGCCCACUAUGAGUCUUGAAAGCAAUUCUUAAAACAUCUUGAGGUGCCAUUCUGAUUUGAUGGAAGUCAGCCCUUAAAUCCAAUUUUGUGAACCAUCUUGCUGCACUUAAUUCAUCAAACAAAUCCUCAACCAAAGGAAUAAGGUAUUGAUUCUUCAUUGUCGUCUUGUUCAAUUCCCUAUAAUCAAUAAACAUUCUCCAACUGCCAUCCUUCUUUUACCCCAUUCUGUAAUAACUCUCUCACCAACCCUUCAAUCACAUCUUUUGGGCUCAGGGGUCUCUAUAGGGUUUCAAAUUGAUAGGAUUAAUGCCUUCUUGAAGCCACUAUGGGGUGGUCAUGACUUCCUGAAAUGGUGACAGCCCUUUUAGUGCUCCAAAAAGGUCUGAAAAUUCGUGCUGAGUGCUGGAAAUUGCUUCAGGGAUUUCUGAACAGAGGUCUGGACAGCGAAUAACUCAAUCUUUUCUUGUCCAUUUGUCACCGACUGCAGCAAGAAAACCUGGUCAUCUUGUAAAUCCUUGAUAUCCAGCUUCUUAUCCAUUUGCCAUCAAAGUUUGCCAUUCUGGUUUCUAUGAUGCCCCUUACGUCCAUUGCCUUAAUGCCUAUUUCUGGUAUUGUCAUGUUCACAGUCACACUUCAGCAUCUGUUGCUGAUUCAAGAGGCCUUCAACCAGUUCAGACAAGGCAUCAACCUUGCCACGGUGUUCUUCAAGCUUGACCAUGCAUUCUUCCAUUUCUUCUUGUUUCUGGCUUCAAGUCUUGACCAUGUACUGUCAGAAUGAGAAGGGAAAGAGGCCAAGGAAUGCCUGGCUCUAGAUACCACUGUUAUACCUCUGUAAUUCUACAGAGAGAGAAACAGAGAGAGAGAGAACAGAGGAGAGAAGAACAGGAAGAAUCAGAGAAUCAGAGAGAGAUUGAGAGGAAUAGAGAGAUGAGAAGUACUGAACAUACGCAGGUCUGUAUUGAGGGCUCAACAUGAGAGCAUACAAAUAAGUAAGAGGUAUUUAUUUCUAGUCUCUAAUAGAACAGUUAAUAUCUUAAAUAACCUAACGGCUAGUUUCAUACCUCACUAUUGUCGUAUUUACAAUUAUACAACAGUCCCUGGAGGUAAGUCCUGUACAACACAAAAAAUCAGCAACAAAUGUCAGUAAAAUUAUACUCUCUCGUCAGCUUUGAAUUUAAAUUUCAUUUAAAUUGUGGAAUAUUCAAAACAGCAUUGAUUCCUUCCAUUGGGCACCUUGGCUCUUCCAACACCCUCAACUAGUAUUCACUGUCCAUUUGAAAUUUGGAUUGGUCUUUGCUUGGUUGUCUUUCUUCGUUCUUAAUCAGGUCACAGUCGAAGGUAAUGUUCUUGGUUGUUCCAGAAUUGAUAACCCAUAGGCCUAUGCAAGAAUUUUACUAGCCUUCUUUGCAUCGGAUUGAGCAGGUUUGCAUUGAGAGCAGCAUUCUUGGUAGUGUAUAGUUCAUAGCAGCCUCUAUUAAUCCUACUUUUGCUCCAGUUUCGAUGGUUUGCUUCACUUUUCUAUACUGAUUGCCCUUAAAUCCGAUGAAUACCCAGUUAUUUCUAAACAAUGAUCCCACCCAGCGUGUCCCAACUUUUGACAAUGAAUUGAUCUCAUAUCAGUUAUCUACCCUACAUAAUUGUUGUCAUGGUGGAGUUCACUUGAAUAAAUUUGUCGGAUAAUUGUUUGGUGAAUGGAUAUAGUAUAUGGACAUCAAAUCUAUACUGUGUCUUUGCCUUUUGUCAUCUUGUUCUUCUCAGUUCUCAUUGCUUGUGUUUAACAUCGUAGAUUCGUAGGUGUCUUUUUCUUUGCGGCAACCAUCAGGAUAUUGAUAAUGUGCUAAUGUCAUAUAUAUACAUUGCAAGUUGUGCACGAUGCCUCAGGUUUUGAAGAAAAUUCCAAUCCUCUGGAACUCGAAGAGUGAAAAGAAAUUUCGUGUGACGCUUUUGACUAUCUCGCCACCCGAUUCGGAAAGACAGUUAAAGCCCAUCUUAACUGUCAAGUGUCACACUUAUGCUUCCAAUAACUGAAUGCAAUGAAAGAUAGUUAAAGCCCGUCUUAACGGUCAUAUUUGCAUUUCAUUGUUUCAUAUAUAAUCUUAUCUAUUCCAUUGUUUCAUAUAUAAUCUUAUCCGUUCCUAUUUCAUAUUUCAUGUCUAGAAGCAUCUUUAAACUUCUCUGACACUUCUAGAAAAUCAGUGGUUUGAGACAA